rnacentral:rRNA from 1 species
UACGGGGGGGGCAAGCGUUGUUCGGAAUUACUGGGCGUAAAGGGCUCGUAGGCGGCCAACUAAGUCAGACGUGAAAUCCCCAGGCUCAACCUGGGAACUGCGUCUGAUACUGGAUGGCUUGAAUCCGGGAGAGGGAUGCAGAAUUCCAGGUGUAGCGGUGAAAUGCGUAGAUAUCUGGAGGAAUACCGGUGGCGAGGGCGGCAUCCUGGACCGGCAUUGACGCUGAGGAGCGAAAGCUAGGGGAGCAAACGGG